rnacentral:lncRNA from 1 species
UAGAAGUCAGGUCGGAUUAAGCCAUAGUACGGAAAAAACUAUGCUACCUGUGAGCCCCGUCCAAGGACGUUAAAAGAAGUCAGGCCAUCAUAAAUGCCAUAGCUUGAGCAAACUGUGCUGCCUGUAGCUCCACCUGAGAAGGUGUAAAAAAUCUGGGAGGCCACAAACCAUGGAAGCUGUACGCAUGGCGUAGUGGACUAGCGGUUAGAGGAGACCCCUCCCUUACAAAUCGCAGCAAC